rnacentral:lncRNA from 10 species
CACUGACUUCCACCCCUCCGGAUCCAGCAGGGUGUCCACUGUGCUCCUGAUCCAGCAAGGCGCCCAUUGCUGCUCCUGAUCGGGCUAAAGGCUCGCCAUUGUUCCUGUACAGCUAAGUGCCUGGGUUCGUCCUAAUCGAGCUGAACACUAGUUGCUGGGUUCCACGGUUCUCUUCUGUGACCCACAGCUUCUAAUAGAGCUAUAACACUCACCUCAUGGCCUAAGGUUCCAUUCCUUGGAAUCCAUGAGGCCAAGAACCCCAGGUCAGAGAACAAAAGGGAUGCCACCAUCUUGGGAGCAGCCCGCCACCGUCUUGGGAACUCUAACAACAAAGACCCACUGGUAACAUUUGGUGGCCUCAUACAGGGAUUCUCUAAAGCAAACAGUAACCUGGAGUAGUUUCAAUGGGAUUUUACUUUGUAUAAAG